AGUCGACGAUGAAGCCCUUCGGGGUGGAUUAGUGGCGAACGGGUGAGUAACACGUGGGCAAUCUGCCCUUCACUCUGGGACAAGCCCUGGAAACGGGGUCUAAUACCGGAUAACACUUCCCUCCUCCUGGAGGGUGGUUAAAAGCUCCGGCGGUGAAGGAUGAGCCCGCGGCCUAUCAGCUUGUUGGUGAGGUAAUGGCUCACCAAGGCGACGACGGGUAGCCGGCCUGAGAGGGCGACCGGCCACACUGGGACUGAGACACGGCCCAGACUCCUACGGGAGGCAGCAGUGGGGAAUAUUGCACAAUGGGCGAAAGCCUGAUGCAGCGACGCCGCGUGAGGGAUGACGGCCUUCGGGUUGUAAACCUCUUUCAGCAGGGAAGAAGCGAAAGUGACGGUACCUGCAGAAGAAGCGCCGGCUAACUACGUGCCAGCAGCCGCGGUAAUACGUAGGGCGCAAGCGUUGUCCGGAAUUAUUGGGCGUAAAGAGCUCGUAGGCGGCUUGUCACGUCGGUUGUGAAAGCCCGGGGCUUAACCCCGGGUCUGCAGUCGAUACGGGCAGGCUAGAGUGUGGU
rnacentral:rRNA from 1 species